AGAGUGCCAGCGAAUUUGAAUGCCUGGUGGGAAGACUCAACAGAAAUUUUCUUGGCCUACUUAUCCUGUUUGGCCUUGGGCAAAUGUGGACUGUGGUUACAUCCCAUCUGCACUGUGGGUUUUCAACAACAAGUUCAUGGCAUUCCAAAAAAUUUGUUAAAUGGAUGAGCGAUAUAUCCAACAAUUUGUCUUUACCAACAACUUGAAAUUCUCAACAACCUCCAUUAUCUUUA